CUGAUUUUCAUAAUUGUCGAUCUUUAUUUUCUCUCUUUGCAUCCGCUGUAAUCAAAAUAAAAUUUAUAUCUGUAAUCGGUGAAUGAAUCAAAAUCUUAAGGUUAUUAAGUUUGGUUUUGAUCUCCCACAAAUCUUUAUUUGGAUUUCACAUACUACAACUAAACUGAAAAAUCAUAUAGGUUAUUAAGAUUACAUGUGAUGCUUCUGAAUUUUCUCCAAUGAUUUUUGAGGUCAAAGUGGACGAUGGCGAGAACAUGGUAGGUGCCCAAUCACUAAAGACUAAUAUCAAGGCAGCUAUUGAGAGUUAGUUCCUUAAAUAUAGUUGUUAGUGCCUAAAUUCAUGUUCAGUUUCUUUAUAGACGAUGGUAAUCAAUGAUGUCUUAGCGUAACUUUUUUGGUAAUUUGUUAUUGUUUGCUUAAUGUCGGCUUUUGUAAAACUAAUGUAGGUCAGUGGAAAACUAAUGUCGGCUUUUAUAAAA